rnacentral:rRNA from 1 species
AACCAGCACCUCAAGUGGUCAGGAUGAUUAUUGGGCCUAAAGCAUCCGUAGCCUGUUCUGUAAGUUUUCGGUUAAAUCUAUGCGCUCAACGUAUAGGCUGCCGAAAAUACUGCAGAACUAGGGAGUGGGAGAGGUAGACGGUACUCGGUAGGAAGGGGUAAAAUCCUUUGAUCUAUUGAUGACCACCUGUGGCGAAGGCGGUCUACCAGAACACGUUCGACGGUGAGGGAUGAAAGCUGGGGGAGCAAAC